AGUGAACGCUGGCGGUAGGCCUAACACAUGCAAGUCGAACGGCAGCACAGUAAGAGCUUGCUCUUACGGGUGGCGAGUGGCGGACGGGUGAGGAAUACAUCGGAAUCUAAUUUUUCGUGGGGGAUAACGUAGGGAAACUUCCGCUAAUACCGCAUACGACCAACGGGUGAAAGCAGGGGAUCUUCGGACCUUUCGCGUCUGAAUGAGCCGACGCCGGAUUAGCUAGUUGGCAGGGUAAAGGCCCACCAAGGCGACGAUCCGUAGCUGGUCUGAGAGGAUGAUCAGCCACACUGGAACUGAGACACGGUCCAGACUCCUACGGGAGGCAGCAGUGGGGAAUCUUGGGCAAUGGGCGCGAGCCUGACCCAGCCAUACCGCGUGGGUGAAGAAGGCCUUCGGGUUGUAAAGCCCUUUUGUUGGGAAAGAAAAGCAGCAGGUUAAUACCCCGCUGUUCUGACGGUACCCAAAGAAUAAGCACCGGCUAACUUCGUG
rnacentral:rRNA from 1 species